CCUCGGCAUCAGCGUGCU
rnacentral:snRNA from 1 species